UCGCAUGGGCGAGCCUGACGGAGCACGCCGCGUGAGUGAUGAAGGUCUUCGGAUCGUAAAACUCUGUUAUUAGGGAAGAACAAAUGUGUAAGUAACUAUGCACGUCUUGACGGUACCUAAUCAGAAAGCCACGGCUAACUACGUGCCAGCAGCCGCGGUAAUACGUAGGUGGCAAGCGUUAUCCGGAAUUAUUGGGCGUAAAGCGCGCGUAGGCGGUUUUUUAAGUCUGAUGUGAAAGCCCACGGCUCAACCGUGGAGGGUCAUUGGAAACUGGAAAACUUGAGUGCAGAAAAGGAAAGUGGAAUUCCAUGUGUAGCGGUGAAAUGCGCAGAGAUAUGGAGGAACACCAGUGGCGAAGGCGACUUUCUGGUCUGUAACUGACGCUGAUGUGCGAAAGCGUGGGGAUCAAACAGGAUUAGAUACCCUGGUAGUCCACGCCGUAAACGAUGAGUGCUAAGUGUUAGGGGGUUUCCGCCCCUUAGUGCUGCAGCUAACGCAUUAAGCACUCCGCCUGGGGAGUACGACCGCAAGGUUGAAACUCAAAUGAAAUUGACGG
rnacentral:rRNA from 1 species